AAUUUCAAUUAAAAAUUCCAGUGGAUGGCUGAAAUGGGAAUUUUUCCCCUGGAAUUUCAAUCAUUUCUGCCCUCAACCAGAACCAAGUGCAAAUUUCAGCCUGGAAUUGAAAAUAUUCCCAUUUUUUUGGGAAUUCUGGAAAAGCCUCAAAAUGUUUUCGUCACCACCGAGUGCAAAUAAAUGAAAAAAAAGCAGGAUUGGCUCCGAAGGAUUUUAGGGAAAGAGCUGGAGAGGGAAUUCCAGGCCUGGAAAGCAGCAAAGUGCAAAAGGACGAUAAUUAAUUAGCGGUGAAUUAAUUAAUUCAGAAUCAGUCUGGUUUUGUUCCAUCCCCUCCUAUUUCCAGGAGAAUCCGCGGGUUCGGCUCCAUCCCCAUCGGAAAUUCGGAUCUUUGUAGCCAAAAAAAGCUCCUGAACCUCAGUCAAGGGCCCAACGUGAUCCAAGAUCCAAACUUCAGCCAAAACCCAACCAUCCAAGGUCCAAACCUCAUCCAAGGUCCAAACCUCAUCCAAGAUCCAACCUCAGCCAAGAUCCAAACCUCACCUGAGAUCCAACCUCAUCCAAGCUCCAAACCUCAUCCAAGAUCCACCCAUCCAAAACUGAAACCUCAUCUAAGAUCCAAAUGUGAUCCAAGAUCCAACCUCAGCCAAGGUCCAGCCAUCCAAGAUCCAACCAUCAAAGGUCCAAAUGUGAUCCAAGAUCCAAACCUCAUCCAAGCUCCAAACCUCAUCCAAGAUCCAUCCAAGAUCCACCCAUGAGCCAAGAUCCAUCCAUGAUCUAAGAUCAACCAUCCAAGGUCCAAACCUCAUCCAAGAUCCAACCAUCCAAAACUGAAACCUCAUCCAAGGUCCAAAUGUGAUCCAAGAUCCAACCUCAGCCAAGGUCCAACCUCAGCCAAGUUCCAGCCAUCCAAGAUCCAACCAUGAUCCAAGUUCCAACCAUCCAAGAUCCAAACCUCACCCAAGAUCCAAAUGUGAUCCAAGAUCCAACCAUCCAAGAUCCAAACCUCAUCCAAAACCCAAACCUCAUUCAAGAGCGAAACCUCAUCCAAGAUCCAAAUGUGAUUUAAGAUCCAACUUCAUCCAAGAUCCAACUGUGAUCUGAGAUCCAACCACCAUCCAAAAUCCAAACCUCAUCCAAAAUCCAAACCUCAUCCAAGAGCCAACCUCACCCAAGGUCCAACCAUCCGACAUACAACCAUCCAAAUUCCAACCAUCCAAAAUUGAAACCUCAUCCAAGAUCCAACCAUGAUCCAAAUUUCAUCCAAGAUCCAACCAUCAACCAAAAUCCAAACCUCAUUCAAGGUCCAACCUUAUCCCAGAUCCAAUCUCAUUCAAGAUCCAACCAUCCAAGAACCAAACCUCAUCCAGAAUCCAAACUUCAUCCAAAGUCCAAACCUCAUCCAAGAUCAAACCUCAUCCAAGAUCCAACCUCAUCCAGAAUCCAACCAUCCAAGAUCCAACUGUGAUCCAAGAUCCAACCAUGAUCCAAGUUCCAACCAUCCAAAAUCCAAACCUCAUCCAAAAUCCA